rnacentral:rRNA from 1 species
UACGUAGGUGGCAAGCGUUGUCCGGAUUUAUUGGGCGUAAAGAGCGUGUAGGCGGCCAGGUAGGUCUGGUGUGAAAACUCGAGGCUUAACCUCGAGAUGUCAUCGGAAACCAUCUGGCUAGAGUCCGGAAGAGGAAAGUGGAAUUCCUGGUGUAGCGGUGAAAUGCGCAGAUAUCAGGAAGAACACCAAUGGCGAAAGCAGCUUUCUGGGACGGUACUGACGCUGAGACGCGAAAGCGUGGGGAGCGAACAGG